rnacentral:sRNA from 1 species
UCUGCGAAUUAGGAGUCCCCAGGUGAUUCUAAUGCACCUCCAGGCCGUAAGCUGUGAUUUUUGUGCUCUAAGAGACCAGGAAGGUUAGCCAAAAAUGUCAGCCAAGAGAAGACAGCUGGUUUGAAGGAAAGGUUGGGCCUCUCACCUCUGACCCUGACCCCAUCAUCCCCCGUCUCUUUGGAAUGCAGCUCUAAGACCUCCUUCACUGGCCGGCCUGGCCUGUCUCCUGCAGGUGACCAUCAAGGUGGUGGAGGACCCCCAGGCCGAGGUGGAGAUAGACCUGUUGGCUGAGCCCAGCAAUCCCCCGCCCCAGGAUACCCUUAGCUGGCUGCCCACCCUCUGGUCCUUCCUCUGGGGAGACUACGAAGGAGAGGAAAAAGACAGGGCCCCAGGGGAGAACGGGGAGGAAAAGGAGGAAGACAAGGAUUAUCCUUCAGAGGAAAUCGAGGGUGAGGACCAAGAGGACAAAGAGGAAGAUGAGGAAGAGCAGGCACUCUGGUUCAAGGGAACUACAGACAACUGGGACCAGGGCCGGCUGGCCUCCGGGGAUUGGGUCCUCAAGGAUUCUCUCAGCUACGACUAUGAGCCUCAGGAGGAGUGGAGUCCCUGGUCUCCCUGCAGUGGGAACUGCAGCACUGGCAAGCAGCAGAGGACUCGGCCCUGUGGCUAUGGCUGCAGUGCCACCGAGACCCGUACCUGUGACCUGCCCUCCUGUCCUGGCACUGAGGACAAGGACACCUUGGGCCUCCCCAGUGAGGAGUGGCAGCUCCUGGCCCGCAAUGCUACGGACAUGCAUGACCAAGAUGUGGACAGCUGUGAGAAGUGGCUGAACUGCAAGAGCGACUUCCUAAUCAAGUACCUGAGCCAGAUGCUGCGGGACCUGCCCAGCUGCCCAUGUGCCUACCCACUGGAGGCCAUGGACAGCCCCGUGAGCCUGCAGGACGAGCACCAGGGCCGCAGCUUCCGAUGGAGGGACGCCAGCGGCCCUCGUGAGCGCCUGGACAUCUACCAGCCCACGGCGCGCUUCUGCCUGCGUUCCAUGCUGUCUGGGGAGAGCAGCACGCUGGCUGCCCAGC